AAUGAACGUUGGCGGCGUGGAUUAGGCAUGCAAGUCGCGCGAGAAAUUUCCUUCGGGAGAUGGACAGCGGCGAAAGGGAGAGGAAUACGUAGAAAUCUGCCCUCGAGCCUGGGAUAGCGGCGGGAAACUGCCGGUAAUACCAGAUAACGUCUUCGGACCAAAGGUGUGAUUCCGCUUGAGGAUGAGUCUACGUCCUAUUAGCUAGUUGGUGGGGUAAUGGCCUACCAAGGCAACGAUGGGUAGCGGGUGUGAGAGCACGAUCCGCCUCACUGGGACUGAGACACUGCCCAGACACCUACGGGUGCUGCAGUCGAGAAUCUUCGGCAAUGGGGGAAACCCUGACCGAGCGACGCCGCGUGCGGGAUGAAGGCCCUC
rnacentral:rRNA from 1 species